rnacentral:rRNA from 1 species
UACAGGGGGUGCAAACGUUGCUCGGAAUUAUUGGGCGUAAAGCGCGCGUAGGCGGCCACUUAAGUCGGAUGUGAAAGCCCCUGGCUCAACUGGGGAAGUGCACCCGAAACUGAGCGGCUUGAAUGCAAAAGAGGGUCGCGGAAUUCCCGGUGUAGAGGUGAAAUUCGUAGAUAUCGGGAGGAACACCGGUGGCGAAGGCGGCGACCUGGGUAGAUACUGACGCUGAGGCGCGAAAGCGUGGGGAGCAAACAGG